AGAGGUCCUCUGCUCCCGGGCCCGGCGGGAACAAACUGCCGCGGUGGCGGGAGCUAGGCUCGCUUGGCUGGAGGCGGGUCAUCCUUCUCCUCGCAGCUCCCGCAACCCCGUGGCUCCCUGGAGCCACCACCACCUUCAGUGCGCUCAGUUACUGGAAGUCAAAGCUUAUGCCGGCGCAGCUGCAUCUGGUGGUGGCAGUGGCUACAAACCUCCUCUCCUCAUCUCCCCAAGGCGGCGCCCGGGCCACCCGGGCCGAAGCGCGGAUGGAUCGCCAGUGAGCCGAGAUGGCCAGACCGACGCCGCGGACAAGGACCUACUGGAGGCUAAGGGAGUUCUGGAGGACAAGUGAAGAGAGUGAUCCAGAGGAACAAACUCGGGCGCCGGAAGAUCCUACUCAGAUAGGCUAAAGAUUCCAAUGGAUGGAGGAAGAGAAGGCUUCGUAGGAACCAGAACAGCUGUCAGCUGCAGAGCCAAGCUUCUCCAGGAAGCCUGAGUCAUCCUGAGUCCCUCCCAUCUCAGAAAUGAUGUGUAGUUUCCAAAACAAUUUAUCUCUACUGGAACAAGGAAAUAAACAAAAGAAAAAGGAAGAGAUAGAAUCCAGGAAGCAGAAGGCGUAACACAGGACCGAGAUGAAGGGAUGUGACAGAGCACUUGAUUCACAUGUUCACGGCAUGGGUUUGAUCUCCAGUGUUGCAAAGCAAAGAAAAAGAAAGAAAGAAAGAAAGAAAGAAAGAAAGAAAGAAAGAAAGAAAGAAAGAAAGGAAGAAAGAAGCCAGGCGUGGUGGCGCACGCCUUUAAUCCCAGCACUCGGGAGGCAGAGGGAUGAAGAGAUGGCUCAGUAGUUGGGAGCACUGACUGCUCAUCAGAGGUCUUCAAUUCCCAGAAACCACAUGGUAACUCACAACCAUCUGUAAUGGGAUCUGAUGCCUUCUUCUCAUGUGUCUGAAGACAGUGUACUGAUAUACAUAAAAUAAAUACAUAAAUAAAAAUAAAUAAAAUUUUAAUUUUUUAUAUGUAUG
ensembl:processed_transcript Foxd2os forkhead box D2, opposite strand